rnacentral:lncRNA from 1 species
GUUGAAAAACAUACACUCAGGAACUAGCAACUAAUGGAACUCGAGAGAAGAUGAGAAAUGCUGCCUUACGGCCCUUUGCUUGCAGCCACCUCCUGGGCUCUGCGCUGAGUUCUCGUUCACAGCCCACACGUCUCUGGAGCUCGACCGUCCUCUCCAUCCUCUUCCCUGCUCUGCUUCAAGCUCUCAGCAUCUUCUGCAGUGCUAUCACAAUUUUAUUGUCGUCUUCUCUUCCCGCCCGUCUUGCUACCCUCCUCUUCCAACCGCUCACCCACCUGCAGCCGCCGCGGUGACCUUCCUGAGUAAAAAGGAAGAUGCUUCCCCUCUCUCUCUCCCAACCUGCUUCAAAUCCUCGCAUGGUUUCCCUUUAUUAGGGAAUAAAGUACAAAUUCUUUAGCACGGCCUGAAGAUCCCUCCACAAUCUGACCCCAGGGCAUCUCUACGACCUCAUCUCAGGUUAAAGGUGCGUGCUUCAGGCUCCCACAGCCCAGCUUCAAGUCCCAGCUCUGCUGCUUACUCAGCUUCUCUGUGCCUCAGUUUCUCCAACUGUACAGACCUCAUGUAAAGCUCUCAGAAUAGUGCCUGGCACUCGGAGCCCUGGCGCGCAGGUGAUUCUCCAAGGGAAACAGACAGCAGAGCGAGGGGAGCCCCGGAGAACACCAACAUCCAAAGAAGCAGGGGAAGAAAAGAGACUCAUGAAAGAGUGAAGAGGAAAUGGUCAGAGAGGGAAAAAGGCCAGAGAGCAGUGUUCCAGAAGGCAAGAGAAAGGACAUUUCCAGGAGAAGGAGGGGUGAGUGAAGAGCCAGUCCCUGGGUGUGAGCAGCCCGCUGCGUGGCCAUCACUUGCCAUAACUGGGUCUCAGCCAUCAGACCUCACUGAUGGCUUCAUGAUCCUCAUGGAGGGGAAACCAACACACAAAUCUAAGUGCUCUGCCCAUCACAUAGUUAGACUUUCUUGUUGCUUUUUGGGGGGUUUCUUGCUUACAUCUCCCCCUUCCAAGAAGUUUUGUCCCACUGUUCUAAAUCGGCAGCCGCAGCCCCUCCAUCCCUGGCACUCUUCCUCUCCUUGCUCAGUUUGACUGAGCCUUCUUCCCAGUGCACCCUCACCCCCUAACACGCCCUACAACAGACUUACGAUGGCCUCGUUUGUCUGCUGAGUACUGUGCUAGCCUCAUGAGGGGAGGGUUCUUCUUCCAUUUUGUUCACAGACAUAGUCUAAGCACUUCGAACAAGGCCGGUACCUAGUGGGUGUACCAUAAAUACUUGUUGCAAAAGUAUUUGGGACAUGACAAAAGACCACGCAGUCAGGACCCUUAGGAGCUCGCUGGAAAGAGGACCCAUCGCCUCGAAAUUUUUCGUAUUUGGAAAACCUCUUUGAAGAAGCUUCCAGAACCAUUCCUAGUUUCCCCUUCGCAGAUACUGAUGAGAACAAACGUCUGUCCUUCCUUUCCAUUAGAUGCUGCAGCUGCCGCCACCUGUCCCCAGGGAACACUUGGAUGUGAGGUGUGAACCUCUAUAAAGUCCUGGUGGGGACGAAGCAGAGACUCUCCCCAGACAGCACCCUGCUGUGUCAUCGCCGUAAAGAGGGAGCAGGACUGAGAAGGGGAAUCCGCUCAGCUCACUGUCCCCGUCAGGGCACAGUGUACCCAGACCGUCCCCACGGCCCUCCACUGGACCCCCAUUAUCUCUGGAGAUUGAAAACAGUUCUCUGAUUUUUUUUAACGGAACACAAAAACUGUUCUUUAUCAAGAUAUAGCAGGGCGGCCAUGUGCUUUUUAUAAAACUGAUUACGGAGACCAGACGAAAGAAGUUGAUGGGGUCAAAAUGCAUUUCAAAUUCCCUCCGUUUGCUAGGACGGGGAAAUGUUUUCUAUUAUAUUUGUUAAAAGUUCACCACUACUUGAUAAAAAUCUUGAGAAAGGGCAUGCAUGUUGCUAAAUUAGCUCUAAAAGAGGACAACUUGAAGUUAAAUAAAUCUGAGUUAAACAUGAGCUCA